GACGAACCGAGCGAACGUUAUUCGGAAUCACUGGGCUUAAAGGGCGCGUAGGCGGGCCGUCAAGUCGAGGGUGAAAUCCCCCAGCUCAACUGGGGAAGUGCCUCCGAUACUGGCGGCCUCGAGGGGGAUAGGGGCAUGCGGAACUUCCGGUGGAGCGGUGAAAUGCGUAGAUAUCAGGAAGAACACCCGUGGCGAAAGCGGCUCUCUGGAACGGUACUGACGCUGAGACGCGAAAGCGUGGGGAGCGAACAGG
rnacentral:rRNA from 1 species